rnacentral:rRNA from 1 species
UACGAAGGGGGCUAGCGUUGCUCGGAAUCACUGGGCGUAAAGGGUGAGUAGGCGGGUCUUUAAGUCAGGGGUGAAAUCCUGGAGCUCAACUCCAGAACUGCCUUCGAUACUGGAAGACUUGAGUCCGGGAGAGGUGAGUGGAACUGCGAGUGUAGAGGUGAAAUUCGUAGAUAUUCGCAAGAACACCAGUGGCGAAGGCGGCUCACUGGCCCGGUACUGACGCUGAGGUGCGAAAGCGUGGGGAGCAAACAGG